rnacentral:lncRNA from 1 species
UUUUUUUUUUUUUUUGCUUUUUAGGGCUGUACCCACAGCAUAUGGAAGUUUCCAGGUUAGGGCUCCAACUGGAGCUGCAGCUACAGGCCUCUGCCCCAGCCACAGCAACACUGUGGGAUCCGAGCUGCAUCUGUGACCUACACCACAGCUCACGGCAACCCCAGAUCCUUAACCCGCUGAGCAAGGACACAGGGAUCGAACCCUCGUCCUCAUGGAUACUAGUUGGGGUCAUUACUGCUGAGCGUCAAUGGGAACUCCUGUCUCUAUGAUUUGAUUUUUUACGACUCUAGGUACCUCUUGUAAGUGGAAUCAUAUAGUAUUUGUCUUUUUGUGACUGGCUUAUUUCACUUAACAUAUAUCCUCAAGUUUCAUCCAUACUGUAGCAUAUUUCAGAAUUUCCAUCCUUUUUAAGGCUGAAUAGUAUGGCAUUGUUAAGUAUCUACCACAGUGUGCUUAUCCAUUCAUGCUGAUAGUUACUUGGGUUGCUUCUAUGUUUUAACUAUUGUGAAUAAUGCUGCUAUGACCAUGGAACUAACUUUUUGAAAACCUUGCUUUCAAUUCUGGGUAUAUGCCCAGAAGUGGAAUUGCUGGAUCUUGUAAUUUUUUUUUUUUUUUUUUUUGAGGAACCACCAUACUGUUUCCCAAGUAAAAAUGUACCAUUUUUACAUUUCUACCACAGUACACAGGGUUCCAAUUUCUCCACAUUCUUACCAACACUUGUUAUUUUCUGGGGUUUUUUGGAUAGUAGACACCCUAAUGCGUAUAAGGUGAUAUCUUGUAGUUUUGAUUUGCAUUUCUUUAAUUAGUGAUGUUGAACAUUUUUUCUUGUUUUUACUAACCAUUGGAGAAAUUCAAAGGAUGAACCCUUUGACCAUUUUUGAAUUGGGUUUUAUUUAUUUUUGAGUUUUAGGAGUUCUUUAUAUUUUCUAGAUAUUAAUCACUUAUCUAUGGUUUUCAAAUAUUUUCUUCCUUUCUAUAUGUUGCCUUUUCACUCUGUUGAUGGUGUCCUUUGAUGCAUAAGAUUUUAAAAUUUUUGUGGGAGUUCCCGUCAUGGCGCAGUGGUUAGCGAAUCCGACUAGGAACCAUGAGGUUGCGGGUUCGGUCCCUGCCCUUGCUCAGUGGGUUAACGAUCCGGCGUUGCCGUGAGCUGUGGUGUAGGUCGCAGAUGCGGCUCGGAUCCCGCGUUGCUGUGGCUCUGGCGUAGGCCGGUGGCUACAGCUCCGAUUCAACCCCUAGCCUGGGAACCUCCAUAUGCCGCGGGAGCGGCCCAAGAAAUAGCAACAACAACAACAACAAAAGACAAAAAAAAUUUUUUUUAAAAUUAAAAAAAUAAAUAAAAUUUUUGUGAAGUCAAGUUUGUCUUUUUCCCAUCACUAUUUGUUGAAAUGAGCACCAUUUCCUCAUUGAAUGGUUUUGGCACCCUUGUCAAAUUAUUUGACCAUAUGCACAAAGGUUUAUGUCUGAGCUCUGUAUUCUAUUCCAUUGGUCUAUAUGUUUAUCUUUUUUUUUUUUUUUUUGGCCACUCUUGUUACAUGCAAAAGUUCCCCAGGCCAGGGAUCAAACCUGAGCCACAGCAGUAACAGCACUGGAUCCUUAACUGCUAGGCCACUAGGGAGCUCCUAUAUGUAUAUCUUUAUGCUAAUACCUCACUAUUUUGAUUACUGUAGCUUGGUAAUAAAAUUUGAAAUCAAGAAGCAUGAGCCCAAAUGUUGUUCUUUUUAAAGAUUGUUUUGGCUAUUUGGGGCCCUUUGAGAGUCCAUAAAAAUUUUAGGAUAGAUUUUUUUUUUAAAUUUCUGCAUAACUGUCGUCGUGAUUUUGAUAGGGAUAGCAUUGAAGCAGCAUGAAGCACCUCUACCCAUUACUUUGGGUAGUACACAACAAUAUUAGGUCUUUCAAUUCUUGAACAUGAGAUGCCUUUCUGUUUAUUUAUGUCUUCUUGAAUUUCUUUCAGAAGUGUGUUGUGUUUUCAUUGUAUAAGACUUUCACCUUCUUGUUUAAUUCCUAAGAGUUUUAUUCUUUUUGAGGUGUAGUAAAUGGAAUUGUUUUCUUAAUUUUCCUUUCAGGUCGUUUAUUGUUAGUAAAUAGAGAUAGUUAUCUUUGUGUGUUAAGUUUGUAUUCUGCUAUUUUGCUAAAUUCAUUUGUUCUAACAGGGUUUUUUUGUGGCAUCUUUAAGGUUUUCUACAUAUAAGAUCAUUGGAUGAAUGUUUUCUUAACCUGAUAAAAUAUGUUAUACCUGAAUAAGAGAGUCAGCAUCAUAUUUAAUGGAGAAAUAGUAGAGCCAUUUCUGCUCCAUGAUUUAUGUUUCAAGGAGACUGUCUAGUUUCUAAAAGUUGAGUAGAAUUCUGUUCUGAAAACAUCUGCAUCUGGUGCUGUUUCAUUUAAGAAUUUCCUUGAUGAAACAGUAAAAAUUAUUGUUAUUAAGCUUCAGUUCUUAAGUACAUGUCUUUUCAAUGUCAUGUAUAGAAAAAUGGGAAAAUAACAUAUUUUCUCUGUAUCUUCUACAUUGUUUCUACUGAAGUGGUGUCCUAAAGGAAAAGCGCUUGUGCUGUUAUCUCAGUGGCAAGCUGAAAUUGUUGCUUUUUUUUUUUUUUUCAUGAAUACUCUUCUACUUGAAAGAAUAACUUAGGGGCAAAUUUUUUUUUUUCAGAUUUGGUUGUUUUUUUUUUUGUUUUUUUUUUUUUUUUCGUUGGCCAUGCCUGUGGCAUGAGAAAGUUCCCAGGCCAGGGAUCAAACUUGCAUCACAGCAGUACCAGAGCCACAGCGGUGAAAAUGACAAAUCCUUAACCCGCUAUGCCACCAGGGAACUCUACAGGUACUUUUUCCACAAAUGAAUGGAGCCAUCCUGUCACUUUAAGGAAAACAACUGAAAGUAUAUGUUAUCAGUGAUAAAAUUUUGGCUUUUGAUCAAAAAUUAUAAUUUUGGAACAUUUCAUCUGCGCCUGUGAGCUUGAAACCUUCCCUGUACUUACAGACUUUUUUGGUGAGAUUGGUUGGUGAUAUUAUUAAGAAUGAGAUUUUUACAAUACAGUAUAGUGAAGCAUUUGAAAGAUCUGCACAAAUUAGUAAGGUAAUAUUUUCCAAAUAAACAGUGCAUGAUAUUACAAAAUAUAAAUUAAUGGAUUUAAAUGUAAUGGUACAGAAAGUUCAUUGAUGUAGUUUCAGAUUCUACAUUGCACCCAGAGAUUUGCUUGCAUCUGAUCUUAAUAUUCAUUUGCCCAUUUUAUUUUUAGCUUGUUUCUUGAAUGAAGCACGUUCUUGGGUUUUGCUCUGUGAGCCAAACAAAACUCCUUUUCUUCUUUUAUGAAAGUGGUUUUAUUUUUGGCCACACCUGUGGCAUGCAGAAGUUCCUGGGCCAGGGAUCGAACCUGAGUCACAGUAGUGACAAUGCUGAAUCCUUAACCACUAGGCCACCAGGAAACUUUUUUUUUUUGAUAAGUGAAUUAAUCCAUUCACAUUUAUUGAAAUGACUGAACAUUUGAUUUAUAGUUACUAUGUAUAUUAUGUAACAUCUGUGUUUUUCCCUUUCGAUGAUGAUUUUUCUCCUUUUUUUUUUUUUUUGCUCUUUAAGAUGUUUUCUUUUUUUCUUUCUUUUUUUUUGCUUUUUAGGGCCACACCUGUGGCAUUUCCUGGGCUAGGGGUCGAAUUGGAACUGCAGCUGCUGGCCCACACCACAGCCUCAGCAAUGCCAGAACCAAGCCAUGUCUGUGGCCUACACCACAGCUCAUGGCAACGCCAGAUCCUUAGCCCACUGAAUGAGGCCAGGGAUGGAACCCACAUCCUCAUGGAUACUAGUUGGAUUCUUAACCUGCCCACAACAGGAACUCUGCCAAAUUUUACUUUUUUCAUCUCACUUUUAUUCUUUUUCUUUUUCCAUUUUUGUCUAGUUACCCUUACUAAGUUUCCAUUCAAAAUCUGGUCCAUAUUAUAAUAUAUAGUCUUUUUUUUUUUUUUUUAAGUUUUGGAUGCCCUGUGGCAUAUGGAGCUCACGGACCAGGGAUCAUACUCCAGCCCCAGUCUCGACCUAAGCUGCAGCUCUGGCAACACUGGGUCUUUAACCCACUGCACCAGGCCAGGGAUCAAACCUUCAUUCCAGCACUUCUAAGACGCCGCCAAUCCCAUUGUGCCGCAGUGGGAACUCCUAUAGUCUUCAUUUUUGAUAUGAUUCUUUUAAUUCUGUCAUUUCUGGGAUCAGUCAACUCUUGUUUCAUUAUUUCCAUUUUUUUGUUCGUUUUUGGACUUAAUUUUUUAAUGUCAAUUCAGGUUCUUUUUCCGUAUACCUAAACAGGGAUAUUUAACUCAGUUUGGAUUUUUGUGUUAAGUCGUCUUCUGUGCAUGUAUUUUGUGGGGAGGGAGGUAGGGUGAAUGGCCAAACUGGUAAUUUUUGCCAGCUGAUGUGUUUUUGUUUUUUUAUUCUGUAGCUUUGUAUGGAUGAAGAGUGCUUGUGUCUAUGCCUGUUCAAGACUAUUCAAAGCUUGAUUCGGAGUGGUUUACAAGAGUCUUCAUUUAAAGUGCCCUCUUGUGUCAUUGUAAUGAUGUGCAGCUCUUUAAUGGAUGGCGCCGAGGGACAGAAUGUAGUGUAUGGCUGAAGGCUUGGUCUUCACCAGGAUGGCUCUAGCCAAUGAAACAGGGGACGAGCAAUGUGACAGAGAUGCUGGCUGGUGCAUAAAUGUUUUGGUAGUAAACUGCAGAAGUCUCUUCCGAUUGCGUUUUGUCAAUAAAAUAAGGUUAGGUUGAGAAUGGAUGAAGCAACAAAGGAGAUUUGAAGAGAGAAAACCACUGGCUUUCUCUAGGAAGAUAUUGGGAUAAUAGACAAUGAAUAUACAGCUAGAUCUUUUCAUUUCAUUAAAUUCACAGCAUAUUUUUAGUGGUUGCUCACAGUUCUGAUUUAUGGCUUACAUUAUGUUCUACAAUUUUUUUAAAACUAAUUUUCUGUUGUUGGACAAUAAAGUUGUUUCAGAUUUUUACUAUUAU